rnacentral:rRNA from 1 species
UACGGGGGGGGGGCAAGCGUUGUUCGGAAUUACUGGGCGUAAAGGGCUCGUAGGCGGCCAACUAAGUCGGAUGUGAAAUCCCCAGGCUUAACCUGGGAACUGCAUCCGGUACUGGUGAUGGCUUGAAUCCGGGAGAGGGAUGCGGAAUUCCAGGUGUAGCGGUGAAAUGCGUAGAUAUCUGGAGGAACACCGGUGGCGAAGGCGGCAUCCUGGACCGGCAUUGACGCUGAGGAGCGAAAGCCAGGGGGAGCAAACGGG